CCCAAGGAUGGGACCGCGGCCGAUCAGGUUGUUGGUGAGGUAAUGGCUCACCAAGCCUUUAACCGGUUCGGGCCGUGGGAGCGGGAGCCCGGAGAUGGGCACUGAGACAAGGGCCCAGGUCCUACGGGGCGCAGCAGUCGCGAAAACUCCGCAAUACGCGAAGGCGUGACGGGGCUAUCCCGAGUGCCGUCCGCUGAGGAUGGCUUUUCCCCAGUGUAGAUAGCUGGGGGAAUAAGGAGAGGGCAAGUCUGGUGUCAGCCGCCGCGGUAAUACCAGCUCUCCGAGUGGUGGGGACGUUUAUUGGGCCUAAAGCAUCCGUAGCCAGCUGAGCAAGUCCCCAGUUAAAUCCAGCGAUUUAAUCGUUGGACUGCUGGGGAUACUGUCCGGCUAGGGGGUGGGAGAGGCCGACGGUAUUCCCGGGGUAGGGGUGAAAUCCUAUAAUCCCGGGAGGACCACCAGUGGCGAAGGCUGUUGGCUAAAACAUGCCCGACGGUGAGGGAUGAAAGCUGGGGGGAGCGAACCGGAUUAGAUACCCGGGUAGUCCCAGCUGUAAACGAU
rnacentral:rRNA from 1 species